AUUGAACGCUGGCGGCAUGCCUUACACAUGCAAGUCGAACGGCAGCACGGGUGCUUGCACCUGGUGGCGAGUGGCGAACGGGUGAGUAAUAUAUCGGAACGUACCUUAUCGGUGGGGGAUAACGCAGCGAAAGCUGCGCUAAUACCGCAUACGCCCUGAGGGGAAAGCGGGGACCGUAAGGCCUCGCGCGAUUAGAGCGGCCGAUAUCUGAUUAGCUUGUUGGUAAGGUAAGAGCUUACCAAGGCGACGAUCAGUAUCUGGUUUGAGAGGACGAUCAGACACACUGGAACUGAGACACGGUCCAGACUCCUACGGGAGGCAGCAGUGGGGAAUUUUCCGCAAUGGGCGAAAGCCUGACGGAGCAAUACCGCGUGAGGGAAGAAUGCCUAUGGGUUGUAAACCUCUUUUUCAGGGAGGAAUCAAAUGACGUGUACCUGAAGAAUAAGCAUCGGCUAACUCCGUG
rnacentral:rRNA from 1 species